AGCAAGACCCAUGAGAGUGUGUUUUCACGAACGAAGAAUUGAUUCAUUUCAUGGAUUUGGAACACAGACUCUGUAAUAUUAUUUUUCAUUCAAAUGGGAUUUCUCUUCCAGAAGUCGCAUUGUAACGACAAUCACGAUCACGAAGAUGUCAAACUCGACUUUGAAACUCCAGCGGAUGCUAACCAAUGGUACCAUUCUCAGGACCUUGAUCGCUUUCUCUCAAAAGAAUCAUCCAAGCCGUCAUUUGCACUAUUUUGUUGUUCCUUACGGGACCGCAAGAUUAAUUCUAAAAGCGUUCACACACAAAAAAAAAUCAUGAUUGUUAGGCCAAGAUCAUCUUUUGCCUAGCCGAGGUUUGCAAAUGCGAGCACGGAAGUAUGUAGAAAUGAAGCACACAGGGUCUUGGUGUACGGGUGCUUGCUUGACCCAUUCUCAUCGUAUUGAGCGAAAAAAUCUUCGCUUAUCCAAGGAAGGUCACGAAGGACCGAACACUUGAUUUGCUUCAAUGUGGCCUCCGUCCCGAAGUUAUCUUGAAAAAAUACCUUGCACCCUCUGACAUUGGUCCUACUCACAAGCCCGUUGUGCCGGCUGACGUCUACCAAAUAGAAAAGGCAGCCAAUAUCAAAGGUUAUGACAACAAGCUAUCCGAAGUGGACAACGUCUCCAUUUUAAUGGCAAAACCAUCGCCAUCGACAUCGUUCAUCGCCUUUAGUUAUGGGCAGAAAUUUUCCCCAACUGGCCUGCCUUAAGAAAUUCAAGAAAUAGUGGUCGACACAUCCGGUUCUUUUCUUUUGUGCCAUGCAUCAAAGCCGAUGCUAGAAAGGUUCAAACGCCAUCCUACCAUUGUUUCGAUCGAUGGCACCCACGGCACAAAUGCUGCUAAGUGUAUACUCAUUUCCAUUCACGUUUUUGGUGAGUUUCACUCAGUUGAAAAAACAUGCAUUUGAAAAUCUGGCCAGCGUUAGGGCGGCUUUACACUAAGAUGAAUAAU